rnacentral:rRNA from 1 species
AGAGUUUGAUCAUGGCUCAGGACGAACGCUGGCGGUGUGCUUCACACAUGCAAGUCGAACGAGGUAGCAAUACCUAGUGGCGGACGGGUGAGUAACGCGUGGGAAUCUGCCUUUAGAUGGGGGAUAACGGGUCGAAAGACUCGCUAAUACCGCAUAUGACGAAAGUUGAAAGGAGUAAUCCGUCUAAAGAUGAGCCCGCGUCCGAUUAGCUAGUUGGUAGAGUAAAAGCCUACCAAGGCGACGAUCGGUAGCUGGUCUGAGAGGAUGAUCAGCCACAAUGGGACUGAGACACGGCCCAUACUCCUACGGGAGGCAGCAGUGGGGAAUUUUACGCAAUGGGCGAAAGCCUGACGUAGCGACACCGCGUGAGCGAAGAAGCCCCUUGGGGUGUAAAGCUCUGUCAGCUGGAACGAAAAAAAUGACGGUACCAGCAGAGGAAGCAUCGGCUAACUACGUGCCAGCAGCCGCGGUAAGACGUAGGAUGCAAGCGUUGUCCGGAUUUAUUGGGCGUAAAGAGUUCGUAGGUGGUUUGUUAAGUUUGGUGUUAAAGAUUGGGGCUCAACCCUGAAACUGCACUGAAUACUGGCAGACUCGGGUGUGGUAGAGGCUAGUGGAAUUCCCAGUGUAGCGGUGAAAUGCGUAGAUAUUGGGAAGAACACCGGUGGCGUAGGCGACUAGCUGGGCCAUAACUGACGCUGAGGAACGAAAGCCAGGGGAGCGAAUGGGAUUAGAUACCCCGGUAGUCCAA